AGAUCCACCGUCUACUUAUAAGACAACCUUGACCUCUGUGUACCCCAUAGAAGGACAUCAUACAUUUUUAUGUGUCCACAGAGUGCUUAUGUUCCUGUGCAGAGGCUCCUGGUCUUGAGAUAGUCGCCUGUGACUCCAAGGGGAAACUCCUUGACCUUGCUCAUCAAACAGAGAUUUGACCAUUUUCUGGCCACUGCUGAAACUGCUGGCAAUUUGGAUGACAUAUUAGUGAGAAGAGGGUCUGAUCUCUGCUCCAUCUGAGAACACACAGUUGAGACGGACUUUCACCAUGUUGUUCAGGCUGGUCUCAAGCUCCUGACCUCACGUGAUCACCUGCCUCAGCCUCCCAAAAUGCUGGGAUUACAGACGGUCUUGCUCUGUCACCUGGCUGGAAUGCAGUGGUGCGGUCUUGGUUCACCACAAACACUGGCUCCCAGUUCGAGAGAUUCUCCUGCCUCAGCCUCCCAAGUAGCUGGGAUUACAGGCAUGCAGCACCACACCCAGGUAAUUUUUGUUUGUUUGCUUGUUUUUUGAGACGGAGUUUCGCUCUUCUUACCCAGGCUGGAGUGCAAUGGCGCAAUCUCGGCUCACCACAACCUCCGCCUCCUGGGUUCAGGCAAUUCUCCUCCUCAGCCUCCUGAGUAGCUGGGAUUACAGGCACAUGCCACCACGC